AUGUGGAGCAAAUCCCGAAAAAAUUGUCUCAGUUCAGAUUGCAGGCUGCAACUCGCCUGCAUGAAGUCGGAAUUGCUAGUAAUCGCAGAUCAGAAUGCUGCGGUGAAUACGUUCCCGGGCCUUGUACACACCGCCCGUCACACCAUGGGAGUCGGUAACACCCGAAGCCUGUAGUCUAACCUUUAAGGGGGACGCAAUCGAAGGUGGGAUUGAUGACUGGGGUGAAGUCGUAACAAGGUACC
rnacentral:rRNA from 1 species